CAAUAGCGUAUAUUAAAGUUGUUGCGGUUAAAAAGCUCGUAGUUGGAUUUCUGUCGGUGAAUAUCAGUCCGCCCACAGCGGUAGGUACGUGAUAUUUCACCGGCAUCUUCCUGGGGAAUGUGUCUGCUCUUUAUUGAGUGGUACAUAAGCCAGGACUUUUACUUUGAAGAAAUGAGAGUGUUUCAAGCAGGCAUGCGCCGUGAAUACGUUAGCAUGGGAUAAUAGCAUCGGACCUCGUUCCAAAGCUGUUGGUUUCUUGGACCGAGGUAAAGGUGAAUAGGGAUUGUUGGGGGCAUUCGUAUUUGACUGUCAGAGGUGAAAUUCUUGGAUUUGUUGAAGACGGACUACUGCGAAAGCAUCUGCCAAAGAUGUUCUCAUUGAUCAAGAACGAAAGUUAGGUGAUCGAAGACGAUCAGAUACCAU
rnacentral:rRNA from 1 species